rnacentral:rRNA from 1 species
GGGCCCGCACAAGCGGUGGAGCAUGUGGUUUAAUUCGAUGCAACGCGAAGAACCUUACCAGGGUUUGACAUCCUGCGAAUCUCUUGGAAACUUGAGAGUGCCUUCGGGAGCGCAGUGACAGGUGGUGCAUGGCUGUCGUCAGCUCGUGUCGUGAGAUGUUGGGUUAAGUCCCGCAACGAGCGCAACCCACGUCUUUAGUUGCCAGCAUUUAGUUGGGCACUCUAGAGAGACCGCCGGUGAUAAACCGGAGGAAGGUGUGGAUGACGUCAAGUCAUCAUGCCCCUUACAUCCUGGGCUACACACGUACUACAAUGCUACGGACAAAGAGCAGCAAGUUCGCGAGGACAAGCAAAUCUCAUAAAACCGUGGCUCAGUUCAGAUCGUAGGCUGCAACUCGCCUACGUGAAGGAGGAAUC